rnacentral:tRNA from 1 species
GGAGGGCUAGUCCUAACUGGUAAGGCAGCGGACUUGAAAUCCGCCGGGCUCCACAAAGCCCUUGCAGGUUCGAAUCCUGUGCCCUCCGCCA